GGCCCCAUCGUCUAGCCUGGCCCAGGACAUGGCCCUCUCAAGGCCAAGACACGGGUUCAAAUCCCGUUGGGGCUACCA
rnacentral:tRNA from 1 species